ACGGGAGGCAGCAGUGAGGGAUAUUGGGCAAUGGGCGAAAGCCUGACCCAGCAACGCCGCGUGAGGGAAGAAGGUCUUCGGAUUGUAAACCUUUGUCUUAUGGGACGAUAAUGACGGUACCAUAGGAGGAAGCCACGACUAACUACGUGCCAGCAGUAGCGGUAAUACGUAGGUGGCGAGCGUUAGCCGGAAUUAUUGGGUGUAAAGGGUGCGUAGGCGGGGUGUCAAGUCAGAUGUGAAAUCUCAGUGCUUAACGCUGAGACUGCAUUUGAAACUGACGCUCUUGAGUGAAGUAGAGGUAAGUGGAUUCCCAGUGUAGCGGUGAAAUGCGUAGAUAUUGGGAGGAACGCCAGUGGCGAAGGCGGCUUACUGGGCUUUUACUGACGCUGAGGCACGAAAGUGUGGGGAGCAAACAGGAUUAGAUACCCUGGUA
rnacentral:rRNA from 1 species